GUUUUUUUGCAGUAUACGUCUUAACAUUCAUACGCCGAUUGUACUGCAACCAAUCGAGCAGUGCAAUGGGCGUGU